rnacentral:lncRNA from 1 species
AGUUUUUUUGUCGAGCCUGCAACUUUUGUUGCAGAAAGCUCGACAUAGGGAUAGUGAUCCGGCGGCGGCGGCUACGGCGGCGGCUACGGCGGCGGCAUUAGCUAACUUCUUAAAAGGUUUAUAUUUUAGAAGGUGAAAGACCUGGAUGCUUCAUACUUUGUAUAUAGAUGCCUCAUGUUACGAAGUUUCCGUCAGUCACAUGUCCAAUGUCCUUGACCUCAUUUUCAUGGUUCAGUGACCACUUGAAAAAAAGUUCAGAAUUUUUGUAAUGUUGAAUUCUCUCUUAUUAUAAGUAAUAGGAUAACUAUAUUUGGUAUGUGCGUACCUUGCAAGGUCCUCAUGCCCGUCAGACAGUUUUCACUUGACCUCGACCUCAUUUCAUGGAUCAGUGAACAAGGUUAAGUUUUGGUGGUCAAGUCCAUAUCUGAGAUACUAUAAGCAAUAGGGCUAGUAUAUUUGGUGUAUGGAAGGACUGGAAGGUGUACAUGUCCAACUGGCAGGUGUCAUCUGACCUUGACCUCAUUUUCAUGGUUCAGUGGUUAUAGUUAAGUUUUUGUGUUUUGGUCUGUUUUUCUCAUACUUUAUGCAAUAGGUCUACUAUAUUUGUUGUAUGGAAUGAUUGUAAGGUGUACAUGUCUAGCGGGCAGAUGUCAUCUGACCUUGACCUCAUUUUCAUGGUUCAGUGGUCAAAGUUAAGUUUUUAAGUUUUGGUCUUUUUAUGUAAUUUUAUAUGCCAAAGGUCAGCUAUAUUUGGUGUAUGGAAAUAUAUUAUGAUCUAUAUGUCAGUCCCGCAGAUUUAUUUGACCAUGACCUCAAUUGCACGGUUCAUUGCACAGUGUUAAGUUUUUGUGUUUUGGUCUAUUUUUCUUAAACUAUAAUAAGUAAUAGGUCAACUAUUUGUUGUAUGGAAGCUUUGUUAGCUGUACAUGUCUGCCUGGCAUGGUUCAUCUGACCUUGACCUCAUUUUCAUGGUUCAUUGGUCUUUGUUUAGCUACUUGGUUAAUGUUAAGUUUAUGUGACAGUUGUAAUCAAGCUUUAUACUUAGGACUAUCAACAUAAUAUCAAUGAUUAGUAAAGAAGGCGAGACAUUUCAGUGUGUGCACUCUUGUGAAAUUUUAGUAAAUUCUGCAUACAAAUGUUAUAUAAGCAUAUAUUUUAUGUGAAACAUAUUCUGAUUCAAUUUGGAAUAUUUUUUGAAUUCACAAUAAAUAUAUAUUGAUGUUGUGGUAAAUAUAUAUAACACUGUUGGAAUUCUCAUGGUUCCAAGUAAGCUAUUUCAGGGUGCAAGACUUAUGAAAGAGAACUUAAACAGAUAAAUAUAGUUAAAUGACUUUCCAGUUUUUCAGUAAUAUAUAAUAGUUCAAGUAGCCCUCACAGAAGAUAUACCUAGUUAAGACAUAUCGGAACUUAUAAUCUUUUAGAACUAUCCUUGUAACAAUAAUGUUUUAUUUCAGUGCUUUGUGUCUAUUUUUUUUUCAUGCAAGUAGUUUUUGUUCCUCCAGUGGCAGAUCCAGGGUUUGGGAGGGAUUCCAGGGGUUGGAACACACACACCCUUUUUGGACGAUCAAUGCAUUUGAAUGGGGACAUCUGGUUGGAACUCCCCUUUAUCCUAAAAAUGGCUGGAUCUCUCCCUGGUCUAGUAUCAAUUUUUUUAAAGCAAAUUGAAACUGAUUUGACAGUUGGUUCUUAUUUUGUGUGGUUGCUGUUACACCACUGUCCCAGGUUAGGGGAGGGUUUGAGCACUUACAAACCUGUUUAACCUGCACUUUCUCCAUGUGUCUCUCCUAAGUCAGGAGCCUGUAGUACAGUGGUUGACAUUGGAUCAUGUCUGUCAUAUUUGUUUUUCAUAUAUUGUUUUCUAUUAAAUUAGGCAUUUGUUUUUUUGUUUUAUUUUUGGAUAUUCACAUUUUUCUAUGAGACAUUCUUGCAUAUUAUUAUUAAUAUAAUAUUAGUAGUGCAGAUUUGUAUAACAUUUUUUAUACUCAUUCUGUUGUAUUGCUACAUGAAAAGCAGAGGAGAGAAGUCUCUUUAUAAGCUGCAUUUUUAGACUUGUGUUCAUUGUUUAUGUUUGUAGUUGAUCUAGUCACAAGAUGUUAGUCAAGUCAUACUAAAAGACAUUAGCCAAGUCAAAUAUAUAUGACAUCAGUCAAGUCAAAUCUAAAUGGCAUUAGUAAAGUCAAAGAUGAUAAUCAAGUCAAAUUUAAAUGCACAUUUACUGCGGAAAGAAAUGCUUUUCAAGUAAUUACGUCAAUUGUAUCAAUUAUAAUUCAUUUUCCAGAAAUAAGGGUUUGGAUGGGGGUUUACUAAAUAGAGAAUAAUGGGCAAACAAUAUAAAGAAUGGAGAAAAAAGGCAUAAAAAUUAAAGAAUACAGAAAUGAAUAAUCCCCCAUGCAGACCCUCAAAGAUUUUGUAUCGUGUUUCUUAUGUGUUGACUUUUGUGGAAAAUUUGUAGUUAUUUUGUCACCAUAAAUUAAUUUCAAGUAAUUUUUUAUGUGAAUUUUCAUCAAAUAUUCAUAUUUCAAUGGAAAAUAAUUGUUGUUUUUAUAAUGAUGUUUUUUUUUUGUCAUUUAUAGAAUUAAAGUUUUAUAGUUGUCAUAAGUUAAGCAAGUUUUUUCAGAAUUUGUUCAGUGUUCAUAUUUUUUUAUCUAUAUUUAAUGGUACUUAGCUUGAUUAGUGUAACACAUACAAUUUUAGGUAAGAGUUGUUUUUAUUUCAUAGAAAGUGGAAGAAAAUAUUCCUGAUAGAAGAUAAAUAGAUCUGAUGUUUGCUUUAAUGUGAUAAUUAUUGUUUUACUAUUGUAGUUGCUUUUGCUUUUUAUCAAACUAUUAUUCUUUGUUUGAAAUUUUUUUAAUGUCUUUUUUUCUUUUACCAUUGAUAAGAUAAAUAAUAGUUUAUUUAUUUUAGUGUCACAUAUUGAUCUUUGAUAAAAUACAUAAGAUAAAACACAGUUUGUUCUACAUCUGAAUAAACUCUCUUUAAUGAUGUACUUGAAAUUAAAAAAAUCAAGAAUUUAAAAUUGAAGCUAUAAGUUGGAAGAACAUUAGUUAAGGAACAAAAUAAGCUAAAAAUUUUGAUAGGUUGUGGAACUCCUUUUCAAGAUAUUUGAUUUUAAAAAAAAGUAGGGGGGAAAGGCUGACUGGGACUUUUACCUUAUAUUUGCAUUUGUAUUAUUUGGGUGUCAUAUUGAAAGAUAAGAAAUCGAGAAAUUGCUUAAAUUUUGGUAAGUGACCUUUGAAGAGUUAUUGAAUCUUUUAUGAAAAGAAAAGUGUGUGUUACGGGGCAAAAUAUUUUAUCCUCUAUUGAAGGAUAAAAACCAAGGAGUCCAAACAUCUGACUCAAAUUCAUAAAUCUCACCUAGGUUCAUCCUUAAAACAAAACGAAAUUGUGUUUCCAGAUGGACGCUCAAGUUUGUUUUGGUUGAUUGAAAUGAUACUUAUCCCAGGCAUAGAUUACCUUAGCCCGUAUUUGGCACAACUUUUUGGAAUUUUGGAUCCUCAAUGCUCUUCAACUUUGUACUUGUUUGGCUUUGUAAAUAUUUUGAUAUGAGCGUCACUGAUGAGUCUUAUGUAGACGAAACAUGCGUCUGGUGUACUUCAUUAUAAUCCUGGUACCUUUGAUAACUAUUAUACAGAUGGGAAAGAAAUAUCUUAUUAUGAAUUGACGGCUUGUAUUAAAAUUUUUACUGAGAGUUUUACGAGAAAACUUGAGGGCCUUUCUGUCUAAACAUGUUUCAAUGAAUUAUUUGACUGAUUGAUGUUUGCCUAACAUUCAGCACCACAUUCUGGUCAAGAACAAGUGAACAUAAAUCUAAAAGGUUAGUUAUGAAAAUUGGGUCAAGAGGUGUGGACUGUCAUUGGAAAAUGUGGUUGUGUAUGAUGAUCUCAGAAGUUUUACAACUUACAAACAAUUGGAAUGUUCUUUAGCAAAGAUUCAUUAGAUUGCAAACUUAAGGUGGUUUUCCCAACGUAAGACAUCUGAUUUAACAUUACCUUUCCAACUAGUCUUGACUGCUCAUACUAUACUGUCCUCACAGCCAAGCUAAUAUCCCUUGAAUAGCAGUUUUAUUGAAGAAAGUUUUUUAUGAUCAGGUGAAUUGCUAAAAUUAAUUAUAUGUAAGGUUUAACAUAUAUGCAGUAAAUGAAGAAUUGGUAACUUUUUAUGAUAAGUUGAUCGAUGAAUUAUUUUGCUUUUUUGGAGGGGAGGGACUCAAAGCAGGUUACACAUAUUUCCAAAUAAAAUAAUUUGUCAUCAAAUUAACUUGUUAGUGAGAAAUUGAUUAAACAAUUGAAUAUUUUUACAUAUUUGUAAUGGUAUCUAUGUGCAAACUAUAUAUUUAUCUGGGAACAAUAUAUCUAACUGUUAAUAUAUAUGUUCUUGUUCAAAAUAUACAAACUUUGUACUUUCUGGUAUAUGUUCUGCAACCAUCUUUUCCAGGAUAUAUAAUUUACCAAUACUAUGGCAAGCUGUGUUACUAUUUAUUAUAACUUCGAAAUAUCUACCAGUAAUAAACUUUAUAAGUUAUCUUAUAUAAAAAAUAUUUAAAAGAUAUCUUCUAUAAAAACAUUUAUAAAAUAUCUUCGAAGUUAGAAGAAAUAGUAAAAGGCUUACCACACAACAAACACUAAAAGAGAAUUUGAUCAAGUGAAAACUUACAAAAAGUUGUUAUUGAUAAUAUAUCCUGUUUAUAAUUGUUAAUAAUUUGUCAUUGGUUAUAUAUUUCGCUUUUAUAAUUAAAUGUGAU